CCUACGGGUGGCAGCAGUGAGGAAUAUUGGUCAAUGGACGAGAGUCUGAACCAGCCAAGUAGCGUGAAGGAUGACUGCCCUAUGGGUUGUAAACUUCUUUUAUAUGGGAAUAAAACGUUCCACGUGUGGGAUUUUGUAUGUACCAUAUGAAUAAGGAUCGGCUAACUCCGUGCCAGCAGCCGCGGUAAUACGGAGGAUCCGAGCGUUAUCCGGAUUUAUUGGGUUUAAAGGGAGCGUAGGUGGAUUGUUAAGUCAGUUGUGAAAGUUUGCGGCUCAACCGUAAAAUUGCAGUUGAAACUGGCAGUCUUGAGUACAGUAGAGGUGGGCGGAAUUCGUGGUGUAGCGGUGAAAUGCUUAGAUAUCACGAAGAACUCCGAUUGCGAAGGCAGUUCACUGGACUGCAACUGACACUGAGGCUCGAAAGUGUGGGUAUCAAACAGGGUUAGAUACCCCUGUAGUC
rnacentral:rRNA from 1 species